UACAGAGGGGGCUAGCGUUGUUCGGAAUUACUGGGCGUAAAGGGCGCGUAGGCGGCCCGCUAAGUCGAACGUGAAAUCCCCAGGCUCAACCUGGGAACUGCGUCCGAUACUGGCAGGCUUGAAUCCGGGAGAGGGAUGUGGAAUUCCAGGUGUAGCGGUGAAAUGCGUAGAUAUCUGGAGGAACACCGGUGGCGAAGGCGGCAUCCUGGACCGGUAUUGACGCUGAGGCGCGAAAGCUAGGGGAGCAAACGGG
rnacentral:rRNA from 1 species